rnacentral:rRNA from 1 species
UACGAAGGGGGCUAGCGUUGCUCGGAAUCACUGGGCGUAAAGGGUGCGUAGGCGGGUCUUUAAGUCAGGGGUGAAAUCCUGGAGCUCAACGUCCAGAACUGCCUUUGAUACUGAAGAUCUUGAGUUCGGGAGAGGUGAGUGGAACUGCGAGUGUAGAGGUGAGAUUCGUAGAUAUUCGCAAGAACACCAGUGGCGAAGGCGGCUCACUGGCCCGAUACUGACGCUGAGGCACGAAAGCGUGGGGAGCAAACAGGG